AACGACUCUCGGCAACGGAU
rnacentral:siRNA from 1 species